rnacentral:rRNA from 1 species
AACUUGCCCCGAGAUGAGUUCUCCCUGACUCCUUGAGAGUCCUGAAGGAACGUUGAAGACGACGACGUUGAUAGGUCGGGUGUGUAAGCGUAGCGAUACGUUGAGCUAACCGAUACUAAUGAACCGUGAGGCUUAACCUUACAACGCCGAAG